UACAGAGGGUGCGAGCGUUGUCCGGAAUCACUGGGCGUAAAGGGCGCGUAGGCGGCUUGAUAAGCGUGCGGUGAAAGCCCGGGGCUCAACCCCGGGUCGGCCGUGCGAACUGUCGAGCUGGAGCACUGUAGAGGCAGGUGGAAUUCCGGGUGGAGCGGUGGAAUGCGUAGAGAUCCGGAAGAACACCGGUGGCGAAGGCGGCCUGCUGGGCAGUGGCUGACGCUGAGGCGCGACAGCGUGGGGAGCAAACAGG
rnacentral:rRNA from 1 species